CCUGUCAAGAAACUCCACAAGCAAA
rnacentral:piRNA from 1 species